AUGAAAGUGUGCUAAACUGAGAGUGUUAGAUGUGCUGCAUUGAGUUAGUGAAAAAAGGAAACAAAUCUAUGGAAGGCAUAGAAAGAGACACUAACCUUUGAACAAGCCAGAAUUCCCUCAGAGCCUUGCUGCAGACAGUAAUAUUCACAGGAAUAUCAAAUAUAUAUAGUCUCUUUGAGCCCAAACAGCAAGAAAUUGACCCACUUUAUUUUGGAGCAUGAAACUAAUUUACCAGGAACUGUCAGAUUGCACAACCAUUUUAUGCAAACUGGAGCCAAGGGGAAUUUGGAUGAAUGCCAUGAAGCAGACUGACACUACCUAAUAUUUGCUCUGCAAUCAAAUGACAAAAUCUACCAUGAAAUGUGAUACAGAGAAAAAAUGGCAAUGAUUAAAUUUUUAGACUUCAGGAUUUACUCUGAUGUUAUUUUUGGACACCUUCCAUCAAGCUUGGACAAGUUCCCACUUCAAGGAGGAGCCUGGGAUAAUUCCACUGCAGUAAAACACUGAGGAGACAGGAUUAUUGUCUCCUCAGACCCCCUCCAUUGUGAGGAAGACAGGGGAAGAGGGAUAGCUAAAGGAAAACUGUGAAGUCUGAUGAGCUAAAAUGUAGUCUAGAGGUAUUUAUUUUUUCCAUUGACUAUUAAAGGUGGUGAUAAUCCUAACAUAAGCACCUCUGGUAAGUGCAUGAAACUAGAUAAAUAGCACUCAAGUCUGAAUUAAAAAGCCAAAUAAAGUAAAAAUAAAAUCACCAGUACCCUGCCUGAAAAGAUCAGGCUCUGACUGGGAGAUCUCCUGUGUAUGCCACAUGUUUGUAAAAUAAUUUACACACCCACUCAGCCUCAGUAUAUAAAUAUCAUUAUCACUGUCAUUGCCUUCAUGUCUUUUGCAUUUUAUCCUACAAACUCUGAAAUCAUUAGUUAAAAAUUGUAUCUGAUACUUGAGAAUGAGGUAAAUGUAAUCAGUGUAGCUUAUAGUGAUGCUACACUUAGUAGCAAUGUGUCUUCAAUAAAUUUGAACUUGGACCAUUACUUUUGAUUAUAUGAUAACCAUAUAAAAGAUAAAGAGCAUAGAUAUUAAGAUCAUAAGACAGCUUGAACAAGUGAAGUACAUUAGAGUUACUGAAAAUGAAAUUAUAACUUGCAGACUGGUUUCUAGUGGAUGAGUCUUUGCUCAAAAAAAUUCAAAUGGCUGUGAAAAACGUAAAAAGAAAAUCUAUUCAUGAAAUGGAUCUUUAGAUCCUUGUUUCAAUAAAUAUUUAAUGAAAAGCUAGGAAAUAAACAAGAAAAAAAGGACAAACUUUUAUCCUUUCCAAAAUUUAUAGAAAAAUAUAUCCACUGAGGAUAUACACCUCAGCUUCACUGAACAAUGAAUGAAUUCCCAAAUAUAUUUGCAUAUGCCUCACGUUCAAGAUUUCCAUUCCCUUGUUUUGGACACUAUUUGUGGAAAAGCAGAGCAGAGUCCCUUAUUUCAUUCCUCUCAUUGAAAAGGCUUCAAAUAUGAAAAUACAAUCUGAAAGAAAGUGAAUCUAAAUCAGUAGAAGAUUGGCAGAAUGAAAGACCUGACAGAAUGCCUUCCAUCCCUUGAAAAAAAUAUGUCAUGACAAACUGAUGGUCUAAAUUUAUGUAUCUUUGUUCUCAUCCUAAAUGGGUAACAAUGUAUUCAGGUUGGUAAAAAAUGACAACAUUGACAAAGCAUUGAUUUCAUGUUUCCUACUUUUUAAACAAUAAUAAAAUUAUUGUGGCCACUCAA